UGGCUCGACGGAGUCCAACCCAAUGUGAACGUUACCAAACUGUUGCCUCGGCGGGAUCUCUGCCCCGGGUGCGUCGCAGCCCCGGACCAAGGCGCCCGCCGGAGGACCAACCAAAACUCUUAUUGUAUACCCCCUCGCGGGUUUUUUUAUAAUCUGAGCCUUCUCGGCGCCUCUCGUAGGCGUUUCGAAAAUGAAUCAAAACUUUCAACAACGGAUCUCUUGGUUCUGGCAUCGAUGAAGAACGCAGCGAAAUGCGAUAAGUAAUGUGAAUUGCAGAAUUCAGUGAAUCAUCGAAUCUUUGAACGCACAUUGCGCCCGCCAGUAUUCUGGCGGGCAUGCCUGUCCGAGCGUCAUUUCAACCCUCGAACCCCUCCGGGGGGUCGGCGUUGGGGAUCGGCCCUGCCUUGGCGGUGGCCGUCUCCGAAAUACAGUGGCGGUCUCGCCGCAGCCUCUCCUGCGCAGUAGUUUGCACACUCGCAUCGGGAGCGCGGCGCGUCCACAGCCGUUAAACACCCAACUUCUGAAAUGUUGACCUCGGAUCAGGUAGGAAUACCCGCUGAACUUAAGCAUAUCAUAAGGCGGGAAGGAAAAGGACGAGUGUAGACUCCCAAAGCCGUGGUGAACGUUACGGACUGUUGCCUCUCGGGAUGUCUGCCCCAGGGCGUCGCAGCCCGAACGAGGCGCGCGGAAGAACAACAGAAGUAAAGGGGUAAGCCCCGAGGGGGUUUUUGUAAUGAACUGAGCCUUGUGGCCCCCCUGAAAGGCGUUUCAAGAGUGAGUCAAAAUAUUAACAACGGAGGUUUGGGGUCUUGCGUGGGUAAAGAAACACCAAAUGCGGAUUAGGUAUUGUGGAAUUGCGAAAAAUCAAGGAAACAGCAAACUGUGAGAGCAGAUAUGAGCGCGCAGUUGCCUGGCGGCAUGGCGUGCAAGGUUCUUUUGCCCCCGACCACGCCGGAGGAGGAGGUGGUAUGAGAAGAAGCGCCGACAGAGUGAGGGUGCGAGCUGCAGAAGAUUACGGGUAGCUUGUUGCUCAGCGCCCGUCUGCGUAAGUUGUUGUUGCGAGGCACGUGAGAGCGGAGUGGGAUGGCGCCGGGCGGUGAGAUUGACAGCUUA
rnacentral:rRNA from 1 species